GACGAACGCUGGCGGCACGCUUAACACAUGCAAGUCGAACGGAAAGGCCUGCUUUCCCUUGUGGAUUGCGGGUACUCGAGUGGCGAACGGGUGAGUAACACGUGAGUGAUCUGCCCCCAACUUGGGUAUAAGCCUGGGAAACUGGGUCUAAUUCCCGAUAGGACUGCAGGGUGGUGCCUGUGGUGGAAAACGAUUUUCUAGUGGUUGGGGAUGAGCUCGCGGCCUAUCAGCUUGUUGGUGGGGUAAUGGCCUACCAAGGCGGCGACGGGUAGCCGGCCUGAGAGGGUGGACGGCCACAUUGGGACUGAGAUACGGCCCAGACUCCUACGGGAGGCAGCAGUGGGGAAUAUUGCACAAUGGGCGGAAGCCUGAUGCAGCGACGCCGCGUGGGGGAUGACGGCCUUCGGGUUGUAAACUCCUUUCGACCGCGAGGAAGCCACCUGGUUGGAAGGGUGGUGACGGUAGUGGUAGAAGAAGCACCGGCUAACUACGU
rnacentral:rRNA from 1 species